AACGAACGCUGGCGGCGUGCUUCAUACAUGCAAGUCGAACGAGAAAGCCUGGCUUCGGUUGGGUUAGUAAAGUGGCGAACGGGUGCGUAACACGUGAGAAACAUGCCCCUAUGCCCGGGAUAAGCUUGCGAAAGCGGGUCUAAUACCGGAUUCGGUCAUCGGAUGGCAUCUUCUGAUGAUCAAAGGUGGUUGAGUCUAUGCCACCGCAGAGGGAUUGUCUCGCGGUCCAUUAGCUUGAUGGUGGGGUAACGGCCCACCAUGGCUCCGAUGGAUAGCCGACCUGAGAGGGUGUACGGCCACACUGGGACUGAGAUACGGCCCAGACUCCUACGGGAGGCUG
rnacentral:rRNA from 1 species